CAAAAUAAAGUUUGAGUUUGGUGCCAUUAAAGUCGGAUUCAUGAAGUUCUAUUCGGGCACGUGCAGCUGCCUCUUGAUUGGUGAAGUUUAUCCGUACUCUCCGAAAGCUUUGGAACAGUUGGAAUGAGGCCUGCUCGUCAUAAACUCGGAAAAGGGCUUCAAAUCGAUCCUGGAUAAGAAAGUCCACUAAGCUGCAGUAAAUGGAAAAAAAGUUCACGCACAUAAUAGAGCUACAAGAUAAACUCCUGUCCGAGAGAGCAAUCAACGUUUGUUAAACAGCUGCAAGAAUAUGAAAAUAAUAAGAGAGGGAGAGAGAGAGUUUCGUUCCAAGCUGCUGCUACUGCUGCUGGACCUCGCUUCGGCUCGGAACUGUGAACAGUGCCAGAAACGAACCCAAGCCUCCAGACCAGCCACUGAUUAAGGGGUCCCCGACAGCCACAAGAACAUGAGACUUGUUGCUAUUUCUACAAAGGCGUGAGACGUGUUGCUUUUUUCUCCUCUUCUUUUCCAUUUAUUGU